GGACCCAGGGCCAGGCGGGCGGGCUGUGGAGAGCUCUGCGCGGGAAAAUGGGGAUCAGGACAUUCCUGAGUGUGACCCUGUGGGUGUCCGGCACCCCCGAAUGAGAGCACGUCCCCUGUGUUUGCUCCCGACUCCUCCCUGCUGCACUGAUCAACCCCCGGUUGGGUUUUCUGGGCUCUCCGUUCUGUUCCGUUGAUCUGUGUGUUUUAUUUCUGUGGACUUAAAAUAUAAUUUGGGGAAUGUAUUGUAAACUUUUCUGGGGCUGACACCCCCCUCCCCACGCCAGGUCUAGCAGGCAGGAGGGCAGAGUCGAGUCCCAGUCUCCCAGGGUGCAGGUUCUGACACAGUGGGUUGUGUGGUGCCUAGGGCUCUGCAUUUCUCAUGGGGUCUCAGAUGCUGCCUGUGCUGGGCCUGGGCCCAUGUCUGGGGGCCGAGGGGUCACUCCCUGUCGUGCAGGUGAUGUGGCCAUUCAGAGCCUUGAAGGGGGAUUUGACCCCGGAAACUGCCUCAUGAGGCGACUUUACAAUAACCCUUGAAUAGAAUCCAGGCUUUCCUGAGCCUUGAGUGACCACGAACCCUAUGGCCUGCCACACUCUGGCUGCAAGUCUUUGGUUUUCUAAAAUGGAUUAUUAUUAACAGAGUCAGUGUAGUGAGAGCAGGGACCCUCUCUGUGUCACUAAAGGACCCAGCCGAGAAACACAGCAGGUGAAGGCAGGGGCUGUCAUCAACCAGGGGUGCUAAGUUCUUCAUGGGGGAUCAUCUGAGAUCCAGAAGGGCCCUCUCCUGAGCUCUUGAGAUCUUUUAUCUAGGACACCUGGUGCCAAGAGGAUCCCUCCUAUUUCAGGGGCUGCAUCAGCCACAUUGACUCAUUCCUCUGGAAACUGGGCAUUUUGUAGAUAAGCCACGUUGCCUCUUAACCGUUCUAAUGUGUUAAAGUGAUGUUACCUCCUUCCUCGCAAAUCCCCGUUAUGAGGAGAAGUUGGGCUCCUCAGGGAAGGAGAAAGGAAUCGCGUUUACUGAGCACCUGCUGGAGGUGACCUGAAGCCCUGCAGUGCACGCAUGACUGAGAACAUCCAGGGAAAUGAAAUAAUGCCCCAAGCAAACAUGCAGGAAAUGAAUUAGCUUCAAAGAGUAAAUGCCACAUUUGGCCUUAUACGGCAGCAGCUCUGUAUGAGUCACUGAAAUGGCUUUAAAAUGGAAGUGUUUGCUGGUAGCCCCUGACCUAUUCUUUUCAUCUUUUUCUCCCAGCAGAAAUACUCAGUGAGUACAAAGGAGAUUAUUUUACAAUAAUUUCAUUUCACAAAGUAAAAGGAAAGUAAGAGGGCUCAUUUGCAUGUCUGGACCUGGGAUUUCUUGCAUGGCGCUCCAACGGUAGGCACGACUCUUGCAAUGUCCCCAGACCCAAAGCUUUCUCUGUGGUCCUUGUGCUCCAGGAAAUUGGUGAUCUUGGCUAUGUUUUCCUUAUAUAAUAAUUUUUUUCUUUUCUGGAUUUAUUGGACUGCUUUCUAUUGAAAUUUUCAUCUUUCUCCAAUCUCUCUCUCUCUGGUCUAUAGGUGGAGUGUCCUGAUGAUGAGCCUGAUGCUGGUUUUCAUGGAAAGCCUUGUAGGUGAUAUCUACGGCUGUAGGUUUGUGAGUUAUCCUUUCAGAACGCUCAGGUAAUGGUGCCAGGACGAGGUCCAGAUCCCAGCACCUCUUAACAAGUUUCUGUCAUGGACCAUGCAUAUGUGGGGAUGGACCCAACUUACAUUUCUGGAGGACUGUAGGGCAAGGAGAGCAUGAAAUAACGUAUUCAGAAUAGAGAUAAAAUAUACGAGUCACAAAUAUCCUAACCUGCAGGAUUGUCCUAUAGAGACGAGAGAGUACUAUGUUCUUCCCAGACAAACAAAAGCUGAAGAAGUGGUCCACUAACACUAGAUCUUCCCUGAAAGAAAUGUUAAAAAAAAUCUCCUGUAUAAUUUAAAGAGAAGAAAAUGCAAAAAAAAAAAAAAAAGAAAGAAAGAAAGAAAAAAGAAAAAGCUGAGCAGGGAAAUAGAACCAGAAAACUAAAGUCAAAGUGGCAGUAGAAGAUCCUCUAUUGAACUCACCCAUCCAAAGGCAGAGAGAGGCCAGCCUCGGCUCAGGAAACAAAACCCAAAGCUCCCGGCUCAAUGCUGAAUAUCACACCAAACCACAGAGCAGAUUCAGGGAUGUCAGAGUCUGGGCCACAGUGUAUUGUGCCGCACCAUGAUGUGCAAAGAGAAACCUUCUAUGUGGAGCCGAGAGCCUUCAUUUUUCUCAGAAUGUAUUUUGAAUAACAGCUGCUUUUUAAUGUUUGCGAUAGGAUCCAUUUCAGGAUCUGCAGAUGGAUCUCGUGCUGCAGAGGCUGUGGAUGGCUUCACAGUGCGGUGCUUCACCCCUGCGCCACCAGGGAGGCCCCAAGCCUUGCUUUUAUGUCAGCUUCGGGGUCUGGCUGCGGUGGACGCUGUUGGUGAAAGGCUGAGAGUCCCGGAGCCUGCUAGGCUGAGAGUCCCGGAGCCUGUGACAGACCCACCUGUGCCUCCUGCCCCAGCCCACCUGCCACAGCCCACUGUGACCUGCUCAUUAGCUGGAGUUACGUUGGGAAAAGGCCUGAGGGUGGACUAAAAGUUUCAGGAAGUGACUGAUGGACUUUCUCUGGCCAGGAGCCUGACUUGUGCGCCCCAGAUGACCAGGUGUAGACAACUUUCUUGUAUUUGGAAGCUGGAAGGGCUCAGACUUUGAAGUAGUGUCUUGUUUUCACUUUUAUUUGUAAUGGAAGCUACAUACAGCUGUGGAUUCAACAGAAUAAAUUUCUAAAUUUAAAAAUGAAGAAAAGGGGCAAAAGUUGUUUAUUUGGGUUUAAAAGCUAGCUGGAGCACAGGUUCAGGCUAGAAACCCAAUCCCCCUCACUAAAAAAAAAAAAAAAAAUGAGCUGGCCUUGACAUUAACUCCCAGCACUGCUGCUCUGCCCUCGCCUGUGUGACUAGCAGGAGGCCAUGUUUCAUCCUAAAGUGUUUUUCUGUAACCACAUGGAAUUCUUAAGACUUUUAAAAAUUACUUUUCCCCUGCCAAGGAGCAAGGAGGUCAUUUUACCAAUGGACUUUUCAUCAGAUUCUGUUACUGGUCCUGAUAAUGAUAGGGAGUUUGUAUAUUAUAGGAAAUGUAGAAAUUGUGUAUAUUAUAGAAUAUGUAUAUUAUGGAAGAGUAGAAUAAAAUAGGAUGAACAGUAUCAAAAAGUACUCUUAUGACUUAGCACGUUUCCUUCCUAGUUUUUCCCCCCAUAUUUGCAAUUGUGAAAUAGAAUGCCUGUGUAGAAGGUAGGUAGUAGCUUGAGAAUUAUAAAAUGAGCUUCCUUUCAAUAGGUCAAGAAAUGUAAAGUCACACAUGUCAUGAUCUUCAUCCAUAAGGAAGCCCCUGUAUGGCUGUAUAACUUUUUCUCUUUGCUGUAUAACUUUUUCUCUUUGCUCUUCACUACAUAUCCUAGGCAUGUAUCACUGCAUGUAUCAUUAAAACGUGAUUUUAAUUUUGUCUGGUAUUUAAUAUUUAAAUAAAUUAAAUCAUGUUCUGUUUCUGUCUUGAAUGUCACUCAGCAGUAUGAAGGCAAGACUAGUCCACAUUUUGGAUGCAGCUUGAGGCUUUUAUUAGCACUGCUGUAUAAUAUUCCACUCGGUGUACAGUUGUUGACAUUGUGUUCUACUCACACAUAAGGGUUAAGGAGAGUAUGCUUACAUCAUCGCUAAAAUUUUAUAUCCUACUUCAUCAUUUAACACUGCACUGUAAGUACUCUCCACAGCAUUAAAAAACUAUUCAGUGUUACUGUAUCUGUCCAGCCUUUACAUUUAAUUUUGUAUAUAUUGGGGUUUUUUAUUUAGAUAGUUUCAAAUCAUGUUACUGUAAAUAAAGGG